rnacentral:tRNA from 1 species
UUUAAUAUGGCAGAUUAGUGCGGUAGAUUUAAGCUCUAUUUAAAAAGAUUUUUUUUCUUUUAUUAAAA